rnacentral:tRNA from 1 species
CGCCGGGUCGGCGGAGUACUCACAUAAAUUACCUAUCCACAGUUAAAGCAGAUACAGGCCUGUUGCUUGGAGCAUCUGUACUGCACUUGAGCAAAUUGGGUCUGUAGCUCAGUUGGUUAGAGCGCACCCCUGAUAAGGGUGAGGUCGGAGGUUCAAAUCCUCCCAGACCCACCAGAUUGGAGUUCAGGGGCCAUAGCUCAGCUGGGAGAGCGCCUGCCUUGCACGCAGGAGGUCGGCGGUUCGAUCCCGCCUGGCUCCACCAAAUUCCUGAGUGGGAAGUGUCUAGCGAGAAGGCUAGCCACUUUGCAUUUGCGAAGUCUGCUCUUUAAAAAUUAGGUUAGAUCGCUGAUAGGUGAUAUCGAAAGAUAUCCUUAUCAAUUAAGUAUCUAAGUUUCUCAAGGCUUAGAUACUGGGUAUGUUGCAUUCGUAACCAUUGAUCGUAUCCCAGAAUUUUUGGGGUUAUAUGGUCAAGUGAGUAAGCGCAUACGG